GGUGGACAGCGAUAAUUUUUACACGACACUUUGCAGGAGUGCCCGCAAAGAUCCGAACAAGUUCUGCGUGAGGACGUGCUGUUCGCUCCUGCUCCUGGGCUUGGCUGUGUUUUUCGUUGCCUUGACAGUCAUGUACGGAAGUCGGGUGCUCGCACGUUACGGUGUCGGCGGGUCGCACAAGCUAGUGGUGCAAAACCAGAACAACACACAUGCCGAGUUUCCGCAUAUCGACGGCGAUCAUAGAAGUGGCAACGAAGAUGACGGCUCGCACGUUUCUGUGCAGGACCUCUCAGG
rnacentral:lncRNA from 1 species